rnacentral:rRNA from 1 species
UACAGAGGGUGCGAGCGUUAAUCGGAAUUACUGGGCGUAAAGAGCGCGCAGGCGGUCGAUCAAGUCGCGUGUGAAAGCCCCCGGCUCAACUGGGGAGGGUCACGCGAUACUGAUCGACUCGAAGGCAGGAGAGGGUAGUGGAAUUCCCGGUGUAGUGGUGAAAUGCGUAGAUAUCGGGAGGAACACCAGUGGCGAAGGCGACUACCUGGCCUGUUCUUGACGCUGAGGCGCGAAAGCUAGGGGAGCAAACGGG